AACGAACGCUGGCGGCAUGCCUAACACAUGCAAGUCGAACGAGACCUUCGGGUCUAGUGGCGCACGGGUGCGUAACGCGUGGGAACCUGCCCUUAGGUUCGGAAUAACUCCCCGAAAGGGGUGCUAAUACCGGAUAAUGUCUUCGGACCAAAGAUUUAUCGCCUUUGGAUGGGCCCGCGUUGGAUUAGCUAGUUGGUAGGGUAAAAGCCUACCAAGGCGACGAUCCAUAGCUGGUCUGAGAGGAUGAUCAGCCACACUGGGACUGAGACACGGCCCAGACUCCUACGGGAGGCAGCAGUGGGGAAUAUUGGACAAUGGGCGAAAGCCUGAUCCAGCAAUGCCGCGUGAGUGAUGAAGGCCUUAGGGUUGUAAAGCUCUUUUACCCGGGAUGAUAAUGACAAUACCGGGAGAAUAAGCUCCGGCUAACUCCGUG
rnacentral:rRNA from 1 species